rnacentral:rRNA from 1 species
GACGAACGCUGGCGGCGUGCUUAAUACAUGCAAGUCGAACGGAGAACCUCUUCGCUUGGUACCCGUGCCUAACGGGUGAGUAGCACGUUGGCAACCUGCCCCCGGCCCUUGGAUAACUCCAAGACUUUGGGACUAAUACCUUAUGCUCACCUCUUCCCUCAUGCGUGGUGGUGCAAAGGUUUUCCGGCUUGUUAUGGUCCCUCUGCCUAUCAGCUUGUCGGUGUGGUAGUGUCCUACCAAGGCGAAGAUGGCUAGCCGGCCUGCGAGGUUGACCGGGCACAAGAGGACUGAGAGACGGCGCAGACGCCUAUGGGAGGCAGCAGUGGAGAGUAUGGCGGAGUGAGGGGAAGCGUGACACAGAGACGCCGCGAUCGGGAUGACGGCCUUCGAGUUGUAAACAUCUGUGAGCGGAGACGAAGAGGAAGUGACGGUACCUGAAGAAGAAGCACCGGCUAACUACGUG